CCUACGGGUGGCAGCAGUGAGGAAUAUUGGUCAAUGGACGAGAGUCUGAACCAGCCAAGUAGCGUGAAGGAUGACUGCCCUCUGGGUUGUAAACUUCUUUUAUAUGGGAAUAAAAUGUUCCACGUGUGGGAUUUUGUAUGUACCAUAUGAAUAAGGAUCGGCUAACUCCGCGCCAGCAGCCGCGGUAAUACGGAGGAUCCGAGCGUUAUCCGGAUUUAUUGGGUUUAAAGGGAGCGUAGGUGGAUUGUUAAGUUCGUUGUGAAAGGUUGCGGCUCAAACGUAAAAUUGCAGUUGAAACUGGCAAUCUUGAGUACAGGAGAGGUGGGCGGAAUUCGUGGUGUAGCGGUGAAAUGCUUAGAUAUCACGAAGAACUCCGAUUGCGAAGGCAGUUCACUGGACUGCAACUGACACUGAGGCUCGAAAGUGUGGGUAUCAAACAGGAUUAGAUACCCCAGUAGUC
rnacentral:rRNA from 1 species